CCCUGGCCAGUGCCACCGCAACCUCAGCAGUGAGGCUGCAGCUGCCUCGUGGGGAGCCCCUUCCCCUCAUGUCUUCAGCCGCACCCUGGCCCAACAGCCACUCGAGCUCCCUAGUGAGCCAAGCAUUUCUUGGGGACACCAAGAAACCUUGCUUGGUGUCCCCUGCCCAGGCUCCAUGCUCCCGAGAGAGAGAAGAAACUCCACCCUCACCGUCCACGCAGCUCCCCAGGAGUGUCAGAGGGCAGAGGAGGGGGCUCAGGGCCGCACAGCAGAAUGGCCCCAAGGGAGGGAGGGACGGGCCUAAGAACCAUGGGGUGGUUGUCUCACUGGAUGUCCACUCAGUCUCCCACUAAGAAAGCCCACUAGGAAUCAGAGGCAGCAAGGCUAAUGAAAGUCGGUUCUCACAGCAGCUGGGCAGGGAGGAUUCACCUGGGCCUGGGUCCUGCAGCCCUGCUCCUUUGACCCCGUGCCAGGGCCAGCUCUGCACACUCCAGUCCCGGGGCUCGGCCUUUCCCCUAACCAGUGAGUGUGGGCGUCAGUUCGGGCUGCUGUAGAAGAGACCACCAAUCCAGGGCCUAAUCAAUGGAAACUCGUCUCCUGGUUCUGGGAGCUGGAAAUCUGAGGGUUUGUGGCAUCAUCAUCCCCUGGAACUAUCCCCUGAUGAUGCUGUCCUGGAAGACAGCUGCCUGCCUGGCUGCCGGGAACACAGUGGUGAUCAAGCCUGCUCAGGUGACCCCACUCACAGCCUUGAAGUUUGCAGAGCUGACAUUAAAGGCCGGCAUUCCCAAAGGUGUGGUUAACGUCCUCCCAGGAUCUGUGCUCCUUGCUUUUUCCUGUGGAUUCUGACUACUG
rnacentral:lncRNA from 1 species